rnacentral:rRNA from 1 species
UACGUAGUGUGCGAGCGUUGUCCGGAAUUAUUGGGCGUAAAGAGCUUGUAGGCGGUUUGUCGCGUCUGCCGUGAAAAUCCGGGGCUCAACCCCGGACUUGCGGUGGGUACGGGCAGACUAGAGUGUGGUAGGGGAGACUGGAAUUCCUGGUGUAGCGGUGAAAUGCGCAGAUAUCAGGAGGAACACCGAUGGCGAAGGCAGGUCUCUGGGCCACUACUGACGCUGAGAAGCGAAAGCGUGGGGAGCGAACAGG